CUUAGCGGCGUUUUUAAUGUAAUUAUGAUUAAAAAAAAAAAGAAAAUUAGCUAUUUUCAGAAGAGACGUUUCUUAAUCAAGUCUCAGAAGAGACGUCUCUUAUCCUUCAAUCUCCUCUCCUCUCUCGCCAAUCCUUCGAUCUCCUCUCCUUUCUCUCCAAUCCACAGUCUCAUCGGCAUCUUCAAACAACCGGCGAUGCCUCUCAAUUCCCGUUGAUACGAGUCCAUAGCCUUAGGUUUCUUCAAUUCCCGUUCUCCGAGUGUUGUCGUAAUCGGAGAUCAGAUCGACUUCCUGGUUGAAGGACGGCACUGUCUUAUGCUGAGAAGAGUAUCAGAGUAGAUGAGAGGCACAUACCCGCCUACAUAGUGAAGGAAAACUUCCUUUGACUAGCAAAACGACCAGAAGCUGCAGCGAUUGCCUUCAGGGCUGCCCAGAAUUUGAGGCUUAGUACAUUCUUAUUUGGCAUUUGGCAAAACCAAAGAAGCGUUGUAUACCUUGGAGCAGCCAUAGCUCUAGCUGACCUACAUCUAAUGGAAGGGAGGAAUGGAGAUGCUGUAUCACUACUUGAACGAUAUCUAAAAGACUGGGCUGAUGAAUCUCUCCAUGCCAAGCUAGCUCAAGUGUUUGCUGCAACGAAUAUGCUACAAGAUUCUUUAUCGCACUAUCAAGCUGCAUUAAGGAUAAAUCCACAGAAUGAGGCAGCCACAGCUGAUGGACCGAAACACAUAGAAACCACCCUAUCACUUUUCUGAUUGUUUUAAAAUAGCACAUGAUGGUUUCGUUAUCGUUCUACUCACCGUUCUUGUUAAGGCUGCUACCUUCCCACUGACCAAAAAGCAGGUCGAAUCUGCAAUGGCUGUGAAGUCUUUGCAGCCUCAAAUUAAGGCUAAUCAGGAACGGUAUGUUGGUGUCAGGUUAACCCAUUUUUCCUGAUGUCAUACUAAGUUUAUAGUUUGUAUCAAUCAAGUUGUUAGGUUUGAGUAAAUAGGUCUGAAGCUGCUUGUUUCAUCAUUAUGGACAGAUAAGUGUUGAGAAUGUUUAAUUUUUUUUUAAGAAACCUUAAUUAAGAAACUUGCAUUGGACAUAUAAAUGUUGUCGUCUCUUAGCGGAGUCUCUUAGCUCACAAUUACUAUUAAAAAAAAAUUAAGAGACCCUAAAUGGAUCUCUAGGUUAAUGAUGCUCUUACAGCACAUGAUUAAAAAAGCUUAGGAUUUAACUGGGUUAACCAUGAUUGCUCUUAUACGUGUCUUGGACUAAUUAUGAAAUAGCAUUUCAUUCUGAUAUAUAAGUUAUAUAAUAUAACACUGUAAAGCUCUAAACAUUUAAAUAGUAAAUAAAAACAUUUACACAAGGUACACUAUUAAGUAUCAAUUAUAUUUUUAUUAGGAAUUAGGUGACAUGACCAUAUGAAAAAAAAAAGAAACUAAGGAUCUAACUAUAACAUAAAUUGGCUAUGAUAUUAUAUUUUAUAUAACAACAAUUGACAAAAUACCCCUACAUGCACGUGUACAAACAGUAAAAGUUGUGUCUUCUCAUUCCCCUGUAAACUGAGAAGUCGUUUUUAAUUUUGAACUCUCUCCCCACAUGCGAAAAAGAAGUUAGAUUUUGAGAGAGAAAUUGCGAGUCUGAUAUGGAGAAUAUAAAAGGUGUAACUCUCACCCUCCCGGCGGUAGCCGUCUGUUUAUUGUGUGAUAUACAAAGUUAGGGUUACGGCAGCAGUUUGAAAGUGACGGUGGCACGGGCGAUCGAAGAGCGAACGGCAGUGCGGGCGAUCGAAAAGAAAACAGCGGCAAUCAAGAUAUGGUUGGAAGGGGAUAAUGGCGAAACAACGAGGCAUGUACUUUCCGCGAAAAGUUAAGCGUGUACCUUCAGACAUGAGUGCAUGAAUCAGUGUGCGCUGACAGAAGAGGCACUUGAAACUACAGCUAGGAUAUAUGCAAUUGAAGCCUUCUCCAUAUUUAACCCAGACCGACUCUUGUAAUAACCCAUUGCUGCUUUCCCCUUUGUUUAACUUUCUUCCGUUGAGACUUGGAACUUAUCCUUUUCCCUAAGCUCCCAUUUUGGACUUCUAUGCCCUGCGCAACUCUUUUAUUAUUUCGGAUUGUAUCUUAUUUUCAGUUUAACGCACCAUAUUUAUUUAUCCUUCGCUAUUACCAAAGCUUGAUGGUUUUAUAUGUUAGUACGACUUAACUUAAAUACUGAGACUAUUACAUUACUAA